CUGCACUAUGUGUUCCACAGGCAGGGCUGGCCCCUGGCUCACCAGUACUGGAUGGGAGCCACAGUCCUCUCGGGGUCUUCAUGUGCUGGAAUUAGCACAGAGCUUGGCGGCCAUCCUCUAAUUCUCUUUGCUUGGCUAAGGAUGGAAUUGAGGCUCAAGGAGGUUGAGCGUCUUGUGGUCAAGUCUGAAAGAGAGAGAACCCUGGCUACAGACUUGGACUUCUUCAGUGGAAAUAAAUGAAUAACAUGCCAUGACUUGAAGAAUAUGAAAAUUGAAGGAAUAAUGCAGAUUAACAUCCAAUUCUUCUACUUACUGUGCUCAUUCAAUGUGACAAGCCUUCUCUAAGGAGUGGACAUGUCUGAGAACGUCUUCCAUCUUGCUGCAAAGAAAGUCUCCUUCAUAGCUUUCGACUUUUUCAUCAGCUUCGCCUUGUCUUGGCUUUGGCAUCUCUGGCUCUAUUUUUACAGGAAAACUUCAUUGUGUGUAACAAGCAGGCAUGCAGACAGGAGUUGACUCCACCUUUUCAUCUGCUCUUCAAGCAAGGAGACCAUCAUGGCCAAUUGGUGGCCUCCAGCAGAAAAAGAAACCCAGCAAAUCCCCACAGGCCAUAGAAACAGUCCUCUCUGCUUCUCUACUUCUUGGAAAAUAAGGUGUAUCAAGUGUCAGGCCCUUGGUUCUUCCCUAACACCUCCUGGAGUGAGCUCCUCUUUAACCUGUUCCAGUUGGAGGGAGGCAGCACAUCUCAGUGGUCAAGAUCAUGACCUUGGUGUCAGAUGGCUUUGGGCUUCAUUCCUCACUGUGUGGCCUCAGAGUUCUCCCCUUUAAACUCAACAAAGGAUAACAUCCACUGUCGCUUUUCUUCUUGAAGAAGGAUAACAGGGAGAGAAUGAAGGGUGGAGAGAAACCAGAAUCUCAAGUAGAUCUUGAAUUUGUAGGCUGACCAGGUGAGAACUCCCAAGAAGGUCUAUUAGUAUGCCUAAGACUGUGACCGCCAAAUGAAAUUUGAGUGCUUCUGCUCGGUUUCCUUCUGCAGGUCAGGAACGAGACCCCCAAAUUCCUGACCCUCCUCUUCCUAAGAUUCAUGAUUCUUACAUUUUCUUCUCAUCACAAAUUGCUUUCCAGGUACCAUCUCAGUCGGUACCCAUAACCAGCCGAACCAACACUUACUUGAAGAGUCUUGAUGACUCCCUUCAGUUGGUAAAAUUAAUGAGAGGAUCCUGUUUUUAUUCCGUAGCCAUUAUUACACAUUUCAUGAGGCCUUGUACUCAGAUGAUAUUCUUUCUUUUUAGAGCCAAACUUAUUUCUUAUUUCACAUUGUCAGAUGACCCGAUGAUUUCUGAGCAACAUCCCUAGGUAGGAAAAAAGUGGAUAAACUGAGGCUCAUAAUGCUUAAGUGACUCCCUUAAGAUCUUAUGAUGAGUCAGGAAGCAAGACAGAAAUAGAAACCACGACUCUAGUCUGCUAAACUGUUUUUCUGACCACUAGACCACACUUCCUCUGCAGACUAUGAAACGCUGGAAAAUGGGAGUCAGGCAGAGAGUAAAUAUGGAGGCGAACCCACAGAAACACAAUUUUACUUGUACCCAAAUCAUGUCAUUUAGUAAAGGAAAACAGAGAAACACCCCAAGCUUUUUGCUGUCAUCAAAAUUAUAACCUAAACCAACAAUGGAUAUAGAAUAGGAAAUGAGUCUGCCCUGGAUAGACAUACCCUUUUCCAUUUAAAAUGAAUUUGAAAAAGUUGUCCAUUUUUCCGUCUUGAUGUGUUUUUCCUUUAUACAAAAGGAGAAUCUAAGUGUUCACUUUUAUUUAGAUUUAAGAGUGUAUAAAUAAAAUACCUUUAAUCCUCUCAUUGUUCACACAAUGCAGACCUAACCAACAAUUACUUGUUACAAGUUUAAGGCUCUGUGGGAACAGUUGGUGUAAUAGACACACUGUCUUUAAACUUAAAAUUUAGUUGGACAGAGUCUCCAUGUACCCAUGAAACUCUGAAGGCAGUUGACGAUGAACAUCAAAUGAGCAGGAGUGAUUAAGAAGCAGCCUAUGAUGUGUAAUAGCAAAAACCAAAGCAACGCUGUGUGAAGACUUGGGUUUGAGUCUCAGCUGUACCACGAGCUAACUUUCCACCUUGGACAAAUUACAUCCUAUGCAUUGACAGGGAGCGAUAGCAACUGUCUGCCUUGUCUUCCAACAGUAUUAGCGUGGAGACCAACAUGAGAAAAUGCAUGUAAAAUGGGCUGUGGGCUGGAAGAUGAAAUAUAGGAGGCAUUCAAGUCAUGAGAAGUAUCAGAAUCAUGCCAGGGUUGCACAGAAAAGCCUUUCUCCUUUGUAUCUAGAAUCUCCAAUGAUACAGUUUUCAAGGAACCUUCAGCAGGCUCAAAUGGAAACUAAAACAAGAAAUUAAAAACAGGCUCCCUUUGAAAUUAUUUUUGGCUAUGAGAACAGAAAAUAAUACGAUAUUUUCCCUUUGGUAAAUAGCUCCUUGCCUCAUCCUCAGUGAGAGCUAUCUGAACAUCUUGUGUGAAAUCUGUUGAUAAUGGUUUGAAGAGAGAACUUUCCAAUUAUGAAGAAGAAGGCAUGCAACUCAGGGAAGCCGAACCCUCUGUUGACUGGGACAGAGAGUGCCAAAAACCCUUCCCACCUGUGGUUCCCAGGGAGCAACCGCAGCAGCAUUUCAUCACCAGGACAAUGUGGCAACCAACAGGAAUCCUUGAAUGACCCUUUCAGGAAAACAAGCAUGAAAUUGUGUUCAGGGCUUCCACCUGUGGGUGAACCCGGGUAUUGUUGAUAUGGGAAACUUGAGAAAAGGCAGGAAUUUACUUUUAAAAUUAAGCAGGGAAAAUUUACUGUAAAUAUUGUUAAAUUUAUUGUUAAGUAGUCUGUGAGGAUACUUUAAUUCCAGGAGGUCAUGUGAUUUUUCUUAAUCGAGGAAACAACUAACUGUAAAACUUGUCUAAAAUUCUUACACUAACCUCUGCUUGCGUCAAGUCACUCUUUUACAGCAAUAAUUCAUUACACUUUACACUUAGCAAAAAAAUGUAGAGGGGUCGGCCCCAUGGCCGAGUGGUUAAGUUCGCGCGCUCAGCUGCAGGCGGCCCAGUGUUUCGUUGGUUCGAAUCUUGGGCGCGGACAUGGCACUGCUCGUCAAGCCACACUGAGGUGGUGUCCCAUGUGCCACAACUAGAAGGACCCACAACUAAGAACAUACAACUAUGUACCUGGGGGCUUUGGGGAGAAAAAGGAAAAAAAAUAAAAUCUUAAAAAAAAAAUGUGGAAUUCUUACACUGACUGCAUGACCCUAAUUAUGAUAUCAAAAGAUAACUAUUAAUGUUGUCUUCUAUUUAAAAUAAAGCAACAG
ensembl:lncRNA